CCCUUCAGUGGGGAAUAACACGCCGAAAGGCGUGCUAAUGCCGCAUGUCACAGUCUGGUUUCAGAACUGGAUUGGAAAGGGGACGCCCGCAAGGGGUUCUCGCUGGAGGAUGAGUCCGCGGCCCAUCAGCUUGUUGGCGGGGUAAUGGCCCACCAAGGCGAAGACGGGUAGCUGGUCUGAGAGGAUGACCAGCCACACUGGGACUGAGACACGGCCCAG
rnacentral:rRNA from 1 species